UACGUAGGGGGGCAAGCGUUGUCCGGAAUCAUUGGGCGUAAAGGGCUCGUAGGCGGUUCGUCGCGUCGGGAGUGAAAACUCGGAGCUCAACUCCGAGCCUGCUUCCGAUACGGGCAGACUAGAGGUAGGCAGGGGAGAGCGGAACUCCUGGUGUAGCGGUGGAAUGCGCAGAUAUCAGGAGGAACACCGGUGGCGAAGGCGGGUCUCUGGGCAGUAACUGACGCUGAGGAGCGAAAGCGUGGGGAGCGAACAGG
rnacentral:rRNA from 1 species